rnacentral:rRNA from 1 species
CCUACGGGAGGCAGCAGUGGGGGAUAUUGCACAAUGGGGGGAACCCUGAUGCAGCGACGCCGCGUGAGCGAAGAAGUACCUCGGUAUGUAAAGCUCUAUCAGCAGGGAAGAAAAUGACGGUACCUGACUAAGAAGCCCCGGCUAAAUACGUGCCAGCAGCCGCGGUAAUACGUAUGGGGCAAGCGUUAUCCGGAUUUACUGGGUGUAAAGGGAGCGCAGGCGGCCUGCCAAGUCUGGUGUGAAAACCCGGGGCCCAACCCCGGGCCUGCAUUGGACACUGGCGGGCUGGAGUGCAGGAGAGGUAAGCGGAAUUCCUGGUGUAGCGGUGAAAUGCGUAGAUAUCAGGAGGAACACCGGCGGCGAAGGCGGCUUACUGGACUGUAACUGACGUUGAGGCUCGAAGGCGUGGGGAGCAAACAGGAUUAGAUACCCCUGUAGUC